rnacentral:rRNA from 1 species
AAGGCGCGGUAAAACGCGCUGGAGGACCGAACCCACGUAAGUUGAAAAUUGCGGGGAUGAGUUGUGGGUAGCGGUGAAAUUCCAAACGAACUUGGAGAUAGCUGGUUCUCUCCGAAAUAGCUUUAGGGCUAGCCUCGCAAAGAGGAUGCUGGAGGUAGAGCUCUGUUUGGACUAGGGGCCCGUCAAGGGUUACUGAAUUCAGAUAAACUGCGAAUUCCAGACAUUUAUGUGCGGGAGUCAGACUGCGAGUGAUAAGAUCCGUAGUCGAAAGGGAAACAGCCCAGAUCAC